AGCAGCCGCGGUAAUUCCAGCUCCAAUAGCGUAUAUUAAAGUUGUUGCAGUUAAAAAGCUCGUAGUUGAAUUUCGGAGUUUGUCGGUUGGUCGGGCUUCACUGUCCGCACUGGCCUGAUGGAUUCCUACCUUCUGAAUAACCAGCAUGCUAUUAAGUUAGUGCGUUGGGGAAGCAGAGCUAUUACCUUGAAAAAAUUAGAGUGCUUAAAGCAGGCUUAUGCUUGAAUAGAUUAGCAUGGAAUAAUAAAAUAGGACGGCAUGGUUCUAUUUUGUUGGUUUCUAGGAUCACCGUAAUGAUUAAUAGGGAUAGUUGGGGGCAUUAGUAUUCAAUUGUCAGAGGUGAAAUUCUUGGAUUUAUUGAAGACUAACUUCUGCGAAAGCAUUUGCCAAGGAUGUUUUCAUUAAUCAAGAACGAAAGUUAGGGGAUCGAAGACGAUCAGAUACCCUCGUAGUCUUAACCAUAAACUAUGCCGACUAGGGAUCGGACGAUGUUAAUUUUUAAUGACUCGUUC
rnacentral:rRNA from 1 species